AGAGACGUCGGGAUGUAAAUUGCUUCCAGAGCCGUGCCAAGUUGGCGCGCAAGUGCUCGAUGCGCGCGACAUCCGCGCGUGUGUGCACCAAGUUUGCACGCGUGUAUGCGCCAUGCGGUGGGGUUGGAUAGGUGCUGGGUGAGCGUGCGAGGAUGUUCCUGGACAGCAUAGCUCGACGCUAUUACGUGCGGAGACUAGAGGGACGGAGAUGAGAUAUUUUCGGACUUUCACGAGACAACCAUGAAAUCAAAUGGACUAAGGAAAGCUUCGACGAGGGACUUAGAACAAACAAUGCUGAAAACCAUCGUCUAUUGAAAGAAGGCCAACAAUACAUUUCAGAGGAAAAGAACUUUCUCGCUUUAGGCCUUCUCGAGGAAGAAGAAGAUAGAGAAAAGCCGUUCUACGAAGAUGCUCAGUCAUUUAACAUCGUUACAUUUAAAAUCGAAAUUUAAUUAUGUAAA